rnacentral:rRNA from 1 species
UACGGAGGGUGCAAGCGUUAAUCGGAAUUACUGGGCGUAAAGCGCACGUAGGUGGCUGAAUAAGUCGGAUGUGAAAGCCCUGGGCUCAACCUGGGAAUUGCAUUCGAUACUGUUCGGCUAGAGUACGGUAGAGGGAGGUAGAAUUCCUAGUGUAGCGGUGAAAUGCGUAGAUAUUAGGAGGAAUACCGGUGGCGAAGGCGGCCUCCUGGGCUGAUACUGACACUGAGGUGCGAAAGCGUGGGGAGCAAACAGG